AGCCCCGCCACCGGAAGGGCGAACAGGGUCUCUCGGCCAGGUCGCAGUCGGCCUGAGUGAGCCCCCGGAAUGGGGAGAAGCGGACGCCGACUUCGGAGAAGGAAAUGGGCCUGGCAGCGCGCGUUCAGGUCCCGGGGUGGGCACCUGACCAGUGAUCUUGAACGAUCCUGCACGGCGGAGGGUCUCGGUUAAUCCUUCCUGUAAAUUGGCCGGUUUAGAGUGCCCGGGAAGUGUGCCUUGGAGUUAAAGAUUUGGGGAGUUAAUGCCAAAGAUAGGAGAAUGCACCACGUAGUAUAAUUAAACAUGCGGAGACUCACAGCUACCUAAUGUAGUCCUCCUGGGCUUAUUUAUGGCAACGUGACUGAAGGCAGGAGAUACUCAUAGGCAUCUGAAAGGAUUAGAAGAUUCAGCAAUUCGUUAAUAUGAGCUCGUCCCACCAAGAGGUAACCAGUGUGACAAGACUCAAGUAAGCAAAAUGAAAAUGGCAAGGGCCGUAUAGACCGACAAAUUUCACAGAAUUGUAAAUUAAUGAUAUAAAUUAAUGAUAGGGAAGUGCAUUGGGUCAGAGUGAGCAAUUUAUCUUAUUUGGCUUUGAUUUGGAUAUUGCAAUUUGAUGGUUGCCAGUGCCCAGAGUAAUUGUUAUCUUCCCUGAGCCUGUUUUAAAAAAAAAAAUGUGUAAAAUAGUAAUUUCUGCUUUAUAGAAUUAAGAUGACUAAAUGAAAUACUGUAUGUACCAGCCUCCCCCUGAAUGUAAGUAAUUUUCUUUCCCUCAGUGGCUCCUGUACUUGAGCAUACCCAGAAAUUCAAACGUACAUGGCGGUUGCCACACUUGACAAUUUAUGUGCAACAUUCUUUGCAAUGCCUGUAACUGCCUUCUCCCCUGCCCACCAAUAAAUACACGUAUAUUUCAUUUUGCUUAAGUUUGAAGUUAAAAUAUCAUAAAUAAGGUAUUUCAUAGGCAUCACAGUAUGUAGAAAGCAUGUUGACUGGAGAGUAAACAACUCUGAACUCAUCCACCAAAAUUAGGUAAAACAUUUACUCUUUCAGAGCCUCAAUUCCUUAUCUAUAAAAUAAGAUGGUUGAAAUGGAAAAUGUCCAAGUUUCUUUCCUGUUAGAAGAACAUUCGUAAUCUUCCUUAAGAUGAGAACUAUUAUGUCUAAUUUAGAUGAGGAAAUGAAAGCUCAGACCCCAACACAACCCCAAUGAUCUUUUCCUCCAGAUAAUCCCUUUCGAUAAUUCCUUCCCCUUGAGUGCAGGUUAUGACCUGUGAGUUACUUCUGUCUGACAGAAUAUGGUAAAAGUGAUGGGAUGUCACAACGCCUGUGAUUACAUUAUAUGACUCUAGCUAAGAACACUGGCGCUAAAAACUCUCCUGUCCACCCUGAGGAAGCCAACAGCCAUAUGAAUUGCCCAUGGAGAGGACCAUAUGGCAGGGAACCAGUGGUGGUCUCUAGGAUUUGUGGGCAGCCUCUAGCUGACAACCAGCAGAAAGAUGGGCUUCAAAGUCCUGUAAGGAACUGUAAGGAAGUGAAUUAUGCCAACACUCUGAAUGAGCUUGGAAGCAGAUUCUUCCCCAAUUAAGCCUCCAGAUGAACACACAGCCUGACCGACAUCUUGACUGUAGCCAUGUGAAACCCUGAGCAGAGGACCCAGCUAAGCUGUGCCUGGACCCCUGACCCACAGAAACUGUUGGAUAAUAAAUACAUGUUGUUUUAAGCUGCUAA